CAGCAGCCACGGGAAUACAGAGGGUGCGAGCGUUAAUCGGAUUUACUGGGCGUAAAGCGUGCGUAGGCGGCUUUUUAAGUCGGAUGUGAAAUCCCUGAGCUUAACUUAGGAAUUGCAUUCGAUACUGGGAAGCUAGAGUAUGGGAGAGGAUGGUAGAAUUCCAGGUGUAGCGGUGAAAUGCGCAGAGAUCUGGAGGAAUACCGAUGGCGAAGGCAGCCAUCUGGCCUAAUACUGACGCUGAGGUACGAAAGCAUGGGGAGCAAACAGGAUUAGAUACCCCUGUAGUCCCUGUCUCUUAUAC
rnacentral:rRNA from 1 species